CCUACGGGUGGCAGCAGUGAGGAAUAUUGGUCAAUGGACGGGAGUCUGAACCAGCCAUGCCGCGUGCAGGAAGACGGCUCUAUGAGUUGUAAACUGCUUUUAUACAAGGGUAAACCUGAAUACGUGUAUUCAGUUGUAAGUACUGUAUGAAUAAGGAUCGGCUAACUCCGUGCCAGCAGCCGCGGUAAUACGUAGGAGGCAAGCGUUAUCCGGAUUUACUGGGUGUAAAGGGAGCGUAGACGGCUAUUCAAGUCAGAUGUGAAAGUCGGCGGCCCAACCCUCGAAGUGCUUUUGAAACUGGAAGUCUUGAGUGCAGGAGAGGUAAGUGGAAUUCCUAGUGUAGCGGUGAAAUGCGUAGAUAUUAGGAAGAACACCAGUGGCGAAGGCAGCUUACUGGACUGUAACUGACGUUGAGGCUCGAAAGCGUGGGGAGCAAACAGGAUUAGAUACCCCUGUAGUC
rnacentral:rRNA from 1 species